AUUUCACAUAGAGGUCGCGAUAGACAUAAGUCGCUUAUCUGAGCUGUUGUAGCAGCCAUGACGUUAAGCAAAAGGGGAUAUCGCCGAAAUAGAUAAAAACUACUACUUUGUCUGUUGGGCUAACAAUGAAUAAUUGUUAGACUGUCGUUACAUGUAACGGUGAGCUAUGGAAACU
rfam:Leuconostoc citreum KM20, complete genome.